ensembl:lncRNA
ACUUGAACCUCCUCUGGAAAUGGGCAACAAGAGGAGGAGAAUGAAUCUGCUGCCCUCUACAACAUGAUUAUUGAGACCUACCUGGGAACAACUCAUCACUCAAGCUGAACAAACACUGCAAAACACUGGUAUUCUUUUCACUCCAAAAAACCUCUUCCUGGCAAUGCUGAACAAAUUACUUCAACACCUGAACAUAUUAGACAAUGGUGCUUUUUAGGCAAUUUUAUUGCAAUUAUUGUCAUUGUUAGUACAUUGCUCACUAUUUUGGUGGCUGUAGCAUUUGCUUUAACUCACUCUAUCCAAACUGCUCAAACUAUGAAUGGCUAUUUCCAAAAUAUUACUUCAGAAUUAUCAACUCAAACCAAUAUGAUAAAGAAAUUCUACAAAGACUUAAUGAUCUUGAGGCAGCUUUCAACUGGCUCAGUGGACACCAACAGACCCUAUGGACAUGAAGAUGGUUUACUUGUGAUGCUGGUCAUCACUCAAUGUGUAUUACUCCUAUUACUUUCAAUCAUUCUGUAUUUGAGAGGAGAAUCAACACCUUUUCCAUGGUGGAUUUCAUACAAAUCUGCAUGGAGAUGUGACUAAUCUACAGGGCCAAAUUCAAGCCCAACUUCAUAAACUUCAAAUGGAGUCUUGGAACAUCUUGAAGUUAUUGCCUACUGGUUCUAAAAACUGAUUCUCUGGCCUCCACCUUCACAUUUGGAUUCUUACAGUUAUUAGAAUAAUGUUUUUCUGCUCUUUCUUACAGCCUUAGUAACGCUCUGUAUCCUGUUCCAAUGGACCCUCCAUGCAGAAGCCAUGAUAACCUUCCUACACCAAGCCCAAUAGUCCUCUACCAUGUACUUUCCUCCUCUGCUCAAUCUGAGUUAUAAAACAAAAAGGAAGAAUUGUGAGAAGACUCUGGACAAAGGAGGGAAUGAAGUUAGUAAUCUUGGGAGGAAUUGGAACCUUUGAGAAAUGAGGCCUUGUGGAAUGACCUUACAUCAUCAGAAACCUGACCCUGAAGGAAAUUCUGGAACUACAACCAACUUUUCUCUUGUAGUUUGUUGGUCAUUAGCUAAGUAGUUUUUCUCUGCCACAUACCUUUGUUAUGACAAGCUACAUUAUCACAAGUCCAAAGCAGUUUGGCUAAUUGAUCAUGAACAGGAACACACAAAACUAUGAAACAAAUAUUUUCUAAGUUUAUUAUCUCAUUUAUAUUGUAGUGACAGAAAACUACCACAACUUCUCAGUUAUACUUCUUUUUUUUCUUUUCUCAUUGUUUACUCUGAAUAUUGCAAUGUGUAUUUAUAACUAAUGUAAGUUCAUUUUAAUAUAACACUCAUCACUUCUGGGCCUUUUGGCUAAGAUCAAAUGUAGUAUAAUACUCUACUGAUACACAGAUAGUGAAGAAUAUGUUAGCAAAAUAUCCUAAUUCUUUUCUUUGUAUCAUUGUUGUCAUUCAUUCAAUUUAUUUGUAAGAUAACAUAUAUAUGUAUAUACAUGACAUAGAAUUUGAUAUAUUAUUGCUGUUAUUUUUAAGAAAC